CAUGUAUGAAAGCAUUUGACAUUGUCUCCGUGCACCCUUUCAUACAUGCACUUCCUGAGGACGUUGCAGCUUGUGUCUCACGCCAGCUCAGAAGUGGAAGUGGACAUGACGUUGCCCUACUUAAACCACACAUAAACCACACACUGCACAGUCACAGAGGCAGAGACAGUGAGUGAGAGACCUAACAGAAACCUUUUGUUACUAUUCUCUGAAGUGGAGAGUCUGGAGCAUGAAGAUCCUCCUCACCUUCUGCCUGAUUAUAGCUGGUUCUGAUGCGGUAACUACAGUAACUGGAUACAGAGGAAGAUCAGUUCAGAUUAAAUGCCCCUAUGUAUCUGGAUAUGAAGAAUACAAGAAGUAUCUCUGCAGAGGUAAAUGUCCGUAUGGGGGGAAUAAAGACAUUCCUGUUCGUUCUGGAUCUCCUGCUGAAGAUAUCAGAUUCUCGCUGUAUGACGACACAACAGCCAAGUCUUCACCGUCACCAUCACUGAUCUGAGAACAGAGGAUGGAAACACUUACUGGUGUGUGAUAGAGCGGACAGGGUUUGAUAUUUACACAGAGCUUCUACUGCUGGUUAAAACGGAUGAUCCUGCCAACAGUACUGUCUCACACUCCACACACUCUGCUCCAACCCACUCCAUGAGUCCAUCAGUGCAUGCUGAGAUCACACAUUCAACAGCAGGUACUCCCCUAAAUAAUGCUAACCACACAAUUAGCGCUGGUUCAUCUCAGGAAUUUCCAACUUCCACUGUCAUCGUUGCUGUGUCUGUGAUUCCAGUGCUGCUUCUCAUGGCCUUGUUAAUCGCUGUAGCUGUACAGAGGAAAAAGAAGACCCAAGCCUUGUCUCCAGCCCAAUCUCUACAAAGCUCCUCAACCAGUCAUCUGGUGAGUUGUGUUUUUCCAAAUCGGGUCAUUACUGGAACCGGUGCACAGCAGUAGACGACACUGAACCCCC
ensembl:lncRNA